rnacentral:rRNA from 1 species
GAUGAACGCUGGCGGCGUGCCUAAUACAUGCAAGUCGAGCGAACAGACGAGGAGCUUGCUCCUCUGACGUUAGCGGCGGACGGGUGAGUAACACGUGGAUAACCUACCUAUAAGACUGGGAUAACUUCGGGAAACCGGAGCUAAUACCGGAUAAUAUAUUGAACCGCAUGGUUCAAUAGUGAAAGACGGUUUUGCUGUCACUUAUAGAUGGAUCCGCGCCGCAUUAGCUAGUUGGUAAGGUAACGGCUUACCAAGGCAACGAUGCGUAGCCGACCUGAGAGGGUGAUCGGCCACACUGGAACUGAGACACGGUCCAGACUCCUACGGGAGGCAGCAGUAGGGAAUCUUCCGCAGUGGGCGAAAGCCUGACGGAGCAACGCCGCGUGAGUGAUGAAGGUCUUCGGAUCGUAAAACUCUGUUAUUAGGGAAGAACAAAUGUGUAAGUAACUAUGCACGUCUUGACGGUACCUAAUUAGAAAGCCACGGCUAACUACGU